rnacentral:rRNA from 1 species
GAUUGAACGCUGGCGGCAGGCUUAACACAUGCAAGUCGAGCGGAGAUAAGGUGCUUGCACCUUAUCUUAGCGGCGGACGGGUGAGUAAUGCUUAGGAAUCUGCCUAUUAGUGGGGGACAACAUUCCGAAAGGAAUGCUAAUACCGCAUACGCCCUACGGGGGAAAGCAGGGGAUCUUCGGACCUUGCGCUAAUAGAUGAGCCUAAGUCGGAUUAGCUAGUUGGUGGGGUAAAGGCCUACCAAGGCGACGAUCUGUAGCGGGUCUGAGAGGAUGAUCCGCCACACUGGGACUGAGACACGGCCCAGACUCCUACGGGAGGCAGCAGUGGGGAAUAUUGGACAAUGGGCGGAAGCCUGAUCCAGCCAUGCCGCGUGUGUGAAGAAGGCCUUUUGGUUGUAAAGCACUUUAAGCGAGGAGGAGGCUACCUGGAUUAAUACUCUAGGAUAGUGGACGUUACUCGCAGAAUAAGCACCGGCUAACUCUGUGCCAGCAGCCGCGGUAAUACAGAGGGUGCGAGCGUUAAUCGGAUUUACUGGGCGUAAAGCGUGCGUAGGCGGCUGAUUAAGUCGGAUGUGAAAUCCCUGAGCUUAACUUAGGAAUUGCAUUCGAUACUGGUCAGCUAGAGUAUGGGAGAGGAUGGUAGAAUUCCAGGUGUAGCGGUGAAAUGCGUAGAGAUCUGGAGGAAUACCGAUGGCGAAGGCAGCCAUCUGGCCUAAUACUGACGCUGAGGUACGAAAGCAUGGGGAGCAAACAGGAUUAGAUACCCUGGUAGUCCAUGCCGUAAACGAUGUCUACUAGCCGUUGGGGCCUUUGAGGCUUUAGUGGCGCAGCUAACG